rnacentral:rRNA from 1 species
CAGCCGCCGCGGUAAUACGUAGGGUGCAAGCGUUAAUCGGAAUUACUGGGCGUAAAGCGUGCGCAGGCGGCUUUGCAAGACAGAUGUGAAAUCCCCGGGCUUAACCUGGGAACUGCAUUUGUGACUGCAUGGCUAGAGUGCGGCAGAGGGGGAUGGAAUUCCGCGUGUAGCAGUGAAAUGCGUAGAUAUGCGGAGGAACACCGAUGGCGAAGGCAAUCCCCUGGGCCUGCACUGACGCUCAUGCACGAAAGCGUGGGGAGCAAACAGGAUUAGAUACCCCCGUAGUCCCUGUCUCUUAUAC